rnacentral:rRNA from 1 species
AAUAUUGCACAAUGGGCGAAAGCCUGAUGCAGCAACGCCGCGUGAGGGAUGACGGCCNNNGGGUUNUAAACCUCUUUUAGUAGNGAANAAGCGCAAGUGACGGUAUCUGCAGAAAAAGCACCGGCUAACUACGUGCCAGCAGCCGCGGUAAUACGUAGGGUGCAAGCGUUGUCCGGAAUUAUUGGGCGUAAAGAGCUCGUAGGCGGCUUGUCGCGUCUGCUGUGAAAACCCGAGGCUCAACCUCGGGCUUGCAGUGGGUACGGGCAGGCUAGAGUGCGGUAGGGGAGAUUGGAAUUCCUGGUGUAGCGGUGGAAUGCGCAGAUAUCAGGAGGAACACCGAUGGCGAAGGCAGAUCUCUGGGCCGCUACUGACGCUGAGGAGCGAAAGCAUGGGGAGCGAACA